CCUACGGGUGGCAGCAGUGGGGAAUAUUGGACAAUGGGGGGAACCCUGAUCCAGCGACGCCGCGUGAGUGAAGAAGUAUUUCGGUAUGUAAAGCUCUAUCAGCAGGGAAGAAAGAAAUGACGGUACCUGACUAAGAAGCCCCGGCUAACUACGUGCCAGCAGCAGCGGUAAUACGUAGGGGGCAAGCGUUAUCCGGAUUUACUGGGGGUAAAGGGAGCGUAGACGGCACCACAAGUCUGGAGUGAAAUCCCGGGGCUGAACCCCGGAACUGCUUUGGAAACUGUGCGGCUGGAGUGCAGGAGGGGUAAGCGGAAGUCCUAGUGUAGCGGUGAAAUGCGUAGAUAUUAGGAGGAACACCGGUGGCGAAGGCGGCUUACUGGACUGUAACUGACGUUGAGGCUCGAAAGCGUGGGGAGCAAACAGGAUUAGAUACCCUAGUAGUC
rnacentral:rRNA from 1 species